GUUCCCUUCUCCAUUCCCGACCCCACCCGCCACUCUUCUUCUCCGUUCCUUCUGCCCCCGAGCCGUUGCCUCCUCUUCUCCUCUCGCCAAACUUAGGGCUUCGCUUCCCCUCCUCCACCACCGAUCUCCAUGGCUGCUUCGUACUCGAGGCUGCGGAUCUCUUCCCACGCCCUUUUGGCGCUUGCGUGUUCGAUCCGGGCAUCGACCGUCGAUCCCUCUGCAUCUGCAGCGGCAGCUUCGAUCCAAACUCGAUCGGCGGGUUCGCCGGAUUUCGUACCCGCAGCAAUGGCAGAGAGAGGAGGCCGUCGGGUGGUUGCUCCAGGUCUGUCCGUAAUCAGGGGCCACAGAGAUGCUUCUUCACCAAGGCGACUUCUGGAACAAUCAUGGACAGCUCUACUUCUACAUCGUCAGGCAGGAGUUGGAAUAGUUGUAUGAGAUCUUAGAUUUAUCUGAAAGUACAUGAUUUGUGCUGUGGCCUUUGAGAGUGUUAUGACAACAAGCCCAUUCUGGAGAAAAAGGAAAAAAAAUGUAUUUUCCAUAUGGAUCAAAGUAUUUAUAUGAAGAAUGCCUCCCCAAAGCUGAUUCAGACCCACCGUCGGCAUCCAUUAAGCAGAUGCGAAGGUUUGGCUCAAACAACAUUACAUGCUGAUGAGGCAGGUCAAGGUCAGGUUUGCACUUGCAUCAACCGAGGUAUCAAGUAUUAACCCAUCACCAAUUGUUUAUUUUAGAGUCGAUUUAACCUUGAUUAUAUAUCUCACGACUCAUCCUCAUUGGCUUAUUACACACUCUCUUACUCGGACGAGGUCAUAAAUUUUUUUCUUCUUCUUUUUUUACACUAUUUUUUUUGCUGUUUUAAAGGGUGGAAUAGUUGAACCCUGGGAUCAUUCUUUUUUUAUUCUUUUACUAUGAAUAUAUUCAUGUAUAAUGAAAUAUGGGUCACGGUAUAAUGAUCGGGAUUGAAUCUCGAAAAUAAUCUAUAUAUGUAAAUAUGUAAUCGUGUACAUUAAUCA